CCCAGACUCCUACGGGAGGCAGCAGUGGGGGAUAUUGCACAAUGGGGGGAACCCUGAUGCAGCGACGCCGCGUGGGUGAAGGAGCGUUUCGGCGCGUAAAGCCCUAUCGGCAGGGAAGAAGGAGGACGGUACCUGACUAAGAAGCCCCGGCUAACUACGUGCCAGCAGCCGCGGUAAUACGUAGGGGGCAAGCGUUAUCCGGAUUUACUGGGUGUAAAGGGGGCGCAGACGGCAGCGCAAGCCAGGAGUGAAAGCCCGGGGCCCAACCCCGGGACUGCUUUUGGAACUGCGCGGCUGGAGUGCAGGAGGGGCAGGCGGAAUUCCUGGUGUAGCGGUGAAAUGCGUAGAUAUCAGGAGGAACACCGGUGGCGAAGGCGGCCUGCUGGACUGCGACUGACGUUGAGGCCCGAAAGCGUGGGGAGCAAACAGGAUUAGAUACCCCAGUA
rnacentral:rRNA from 1 species